rnacentral:lncRNA from 1 species
UGCAGUGCCAGGGGCCUCUAUUAUGCUGCAACCUGCAAAUCCACCAUCGCAGGCCGUGUGCAAUCAAGAGUCCGACAUUGCACUGCCGGCAGUUUUUGCUGAGGUUAAUGGCAAGGUACACCUAGGAAAUGGUGUGUUCGUUGACAAG